AGCAAGGUAAGCUAAACAAGCUUUUGGGCUCAUACUCCAAGAAUGGAGGCUAAUAAUCCUCCCUUUGCAA
rnacentral:tRNA from 2 species